UACGUAGGGGGCAAGCGUUGUCCGGAAUUAUUGGGCGUAAAGGGCGUGUAGGCGGUAUCGUAAGUCAGGUGUGAAAGUUUGAGGCUCAACCUCAAAAUUGCACUUGAAACUGCAAUACUUGAGUACUGGAGAGGUAAGUGGAAUUCCUAGUGUAGCGGUGAAAUGCGUAGAUAUUAGGAGGAACACCAGUGGCGAAGGCGACUUACUGGACAGUUACUGACGCUGAGGCGCGAAAGCGUGGGGAGCAAAC
rnacentral:rRNA from 1 species